rnacentral:rRNA from 1 species
GACGAACGCUGGCGGCGUGCUUAACACAUGCAAGUCGAACGGAAAGGCCCUGCUUUUGUGGGGUGCUCGAGUGGCGAAAGGGUGAGUAACACGUGAGUAACCUGCCCUUGACUUUGGGAUAACUUCAGGAAACUGGGGCUAAUACCGGAUAGGAGCUCCUGCUGCAUGGUGGGGGUUGGAAAGUUUCGGCGGUUGGGGAUGGACUCGCGGCUUAUCAGCUUGUUGGUGGGGUAGUGGCUUACCAAGGCUUUGACGGGUAGCCGGCCUGAGAGGGUGGCCGGCCACAUUGGGACUGAGAUACGGCCCAGACUCCUACGGGAGGCAGCAGUGGGGAAUAUUGCACAAUGGGCGGAAGCCUGAUGCAGCAACGCCGCGUGCGGGAUGACGGCCUUCGGGUUGUAAACCGCUUUCGCCUGUGACGAAGCGUGAGUGACGGUAAUGGGUAAAGAAGCACCGGCUAACUACGUG